rnacentral:rRNA from 1 species
AUGCUUUCACAACUUGACUUCAAAAUAUUUGGUUUGGAGACCAUCAAAGAUCAAUAUGUGCAUGAUGCUGAUUUUAAAGAUGUAAUGCAGAAUUGUAAAGAAGGAAGAAUGUGGAACAAGUUUGUCGUUAAUGAUGGAUUUGUGUUUCGUGCUAACAAGCUAUGCAUUCCAGGCAGCUCCGUUCGUCUUUUGUUGUUGCAGGAGGCGCAUGGAGGAGGAUUAAUGGGACACUUUGGCGUGAAGAAGACGGAGGAUGUACUUGCUACACAUUUCUUUUGGCCAAAGAUGAGACGGGAUGUUGAGCGGGCUGUUUUGAAGAAUAAUAAGAAAAUGUGGGAGGAAUGCUUGCCUCAUAUUGAAUUUGCUUAUAAUCGUUCAUUGCAUUCUACUACUAAGAUGUGCCCUUUUGAAGUUGUGUAUGGUUUCCUACCUCGUGCACCUAUUGAUUUGUUGCCUCCUCCAUCUUCGGAGAAGGUUAAUUUUGAUGCUAAACAACGUGCUGAAUUGAUUUUAAAAAUGCAUGAGUUAACUAAGGAAAACAUUGAGCGCAUGAAUGCUAAAUAUAAACUUGCUGGAGAUAAGGGUAGAAAACAUGUUGUGUUUGCACCUGGAGAUCUUGUUUGGUUACAUUUGCGUAAGGAUAGAUUUCCUGAUUUGCGCAAAUCAAAGUUAAUGCCACGUGCUGAUGGUCCCUUUAAGGUGUUAGAGAAAAUAAAUGAUAAUGCAUAUAAACUUGAGCUGCCUGCAGAUUUUGGGGUUAGUCCCACUUUUAACAUUGCAGAUUUGAAGCCUUAUUUGGGUGAGGAAGAUGAACUUCCGUCGAGGACGACUUCAUUUCAAGAAGGGGAGGAUGAUGAGGACAUCAAUACAAUUGUUACACCCACAGCCCCUGCUGCUAUACAUACUGGACCAAUUACUAGAGCUCGUGCACGCCAACUAAAUUACCAGGAAACAGACCCUCGUGGUCAGGUUGAUCGUGCUCCGGCGUGGUCAAUAACCUCUCGGAGUUGGUUUAGCGAUUGCUAA